rnacentral:sRNA from 1 species
CUAUUAGAGUUCAUUCACACAUUGAAGAGUUACAUACAGGUCUCACUCCUUAUCUUUUUAACUUCCCCACCUGUGUUUUCAUGGACAGUUAAUUGUGUUCAUCAGCUCGGUGUGCCGGAAGAGCUACAGACUUCCCCAGUUCUUGUUCGACAUCAACCUGGGAGUAUUCCUUGACUAAGUCGUUCAGCUCUUGGCAGAACAAUCAGAUUCCCUAUUGUACCCCGAAGCUGGUCAAUCACAGCUGCACUCUUACACCACCCGCCUACAGCCUUUGUGUCUGUAACACAUCCACAAACGCUCUGGAAUAAACACAAAAUUUCUACGUUGCUCUGUUGAUCUCAGCAAUGCAGUGAAACAGGUCGGUCUCCUGCAUGGAGGAGGCAUCAUUUUCAAAAAUAUGCACAGGCAUCAGAAACAUAUGCAUCAUUCCCAAGACUUGGGAAGCUGACUUGAGCUGCUCAACAGACAUUUACAAAGGUCACAGAAUGGCUGCCAUACAACCUCGAUUUUCUGCAAGGCUCGCCAAGCUAAUCGUGAUUAGCUGCUACAGACAGAAGAUAGGGCCGGUGAAGAAAGUCCAAACAAUGGAGUCUAAUGUGAGACCACAAAGGCUUUCAUGUUGAGAAUGUAACCUCUUGUGAGAUAGAUUCAGCAGCCUCAAGCUUAGAAAACUCCAGGAAAGUUCUUCAGUUUCUCUGAGGAAGAGAUUGGCUGAGUGAAACCAUGUCAAAUAGGUGGAGCGAGUGACAUCUAAGUAAACACAGAUCCCCAGAUGGCUACCCACCGGCCUCCUGUCCCUGAAGCUCUCCUCCGAGUAGACAUUGCUUCAGAACAACUCUGGAGCCAACACUGACGUCAAACAAGAGUACAUGUGGAAUGACCCAUAGCUCCAGCUGCAUAUAUAGCAGAGGAUGGCAUUGUCUGGCAUCAAUAGAAGGAGAAGCCCUUGGUCCUGUGAAGACUGGAUGCUCCAGUGAAAUACAUCUUUGCCUUUGAACAAUACGAGGCCUAAGUGUCAUGUGACUUAGCAUCCUGGCUGCAUGUGUCAUGCAUAAUUUCCUUCACUUUAAUAGUACUGUGUUUAUUUUUAAAAGAAAAAGAACUAGAAAAUAUUAUCCUUAUAAAAGAGACACAUGGUAUGUACUCACU